rfam:Methylobacterium radiotolerans JCM 2831, complete genome.
GUUUGACACGGUCCGUCGGUCGCCAGUUUGGCGCCCUCCUUCGGACGCGGUGCGAUGAC